GCAGUCGCCACGGUAAUACGGAGGGAGCUAGCGUUGUUCGGAAUUACUGGGCGUAAAGCGCGCGUAGGCGGUUACUCAAGUCAGAGGUGAAAGCCCGGGGCUCAACCCCGGAACUGCCUUUGAAACUAGGUGACUAGAAUCUUGGAGAGGUCAGUGGAAUUCCGAGUGUAGAGGUGAAAUUCGUAGAUAUUCGGAAGAACACCAGUGGCGAAGGCGACUGACUGGACAAGUAUUGACGCUGAGGUGCGAAAGCGUGGGGAGCAAACAGGAUUAGAUACCCCUGUAGUCCCUGUCUCUUAUAC
rnacentral:rRNA from 1 species